GAUGAACGCUGGCGGCGUGCUUAACACAUGCAAGUCGAACGGAAAGGCCCAAGCUUGCUUGGGUACUCGAGUGGCGAACGGGUGAGUAACACGUGGGUGAUCUGCCCUGCACUUCGGGAUAAGCCCGGGAAACUGGGUCUAAUACCGGAUAGGACCACUUCUUGGAUGUUGUGGUGGAAAGUUUUUUCGGUGUUGGAUGAGCUCGCGGCCUAUCAGCUUGUUGGUGGGGUGAUGGGCUACCAAGGCGUUGACGGGUAGCCGGCCUGAGAGGGUGUACGGCCACAUUGGGACUGAGAUACGGCCCAGACUCCUACGGGAGGCAGCAGUGGGGAAUAUUGCACAAUGGGCGCAAGCCUGAUGCAGCGACGCCGCGUGGGGGAUGACGGCCUUCGGGUUGUAAACUCCUUUCGCUAGGGACGAAGCGUUUUGUGGCGGUACCUGGAGAAGAAGCACCGGCUAACUACGUG
rnacentral:rRNA from 1 species